rnacentral:rRNA from 1 species
GACGUAGGGGGCCAGCGUUGUUCGGAAUUACUGGGUGUAAAGGGUUCGUAGGCGGUGUGGCAAGUCGGGAGUGAAAUCGUCUGGGCUCAACUCAGAGACUGCUUCCGAAACUGCUGUGCUGGAGUGUGGGAGAGGCGCGUGGAAUUGCAGGUGUAGCGGUGAAAUGCGUAGAUAUCUGCAGGAACACCCGUGGCGAAAGCGGCGCGCUGGACCACUACUGACGCUGAGGAACGAAAGCUAGGGGAGCAAACAGG